GGAGUCUGGACCGUGUCUCAGUUCCAAUGUGGGGGACCUUCCUCUCAGAACCCCUAACCAUCGUCGGCACGGUGGGCCGUUACCCCGCCGUCUACCUAAUGGUACGCGAGCCAAUCCGUAUGCAAUGAAUCUUUCAAUAUCCCUCCAUGCAGAGGAAUAUGUUACGGGGUAUUACGCGACGUUUCCAUCGACUAUCCCCCACAUACGGGCAUGUUGCUCACGCGUUACUCACCCUUUCGCCGGUCGCCGCCAGGUAUUGCUACCCGCGCUGCCCCUCGACUUGCAUGUGUUAAGCCUGUAGCUAGCGUUCAUC
rnacentral:rRNA from 1 species